rnacentral:snRNA from 1 species
GGAUGCGAGGGCGAUCUGGCUGCGACAUCUGUCACCCCAUUGAUCGCCAGGGUUGAUUCGGCUGAUCUGGCUGGCUAGGCGGGUGUCCCCCUCCUCCCUCACCGAUCCAUGUGCGUCCCUCCUGAAGCUGCGUGCUCAGUCGAAGAGGACGACCUUCCCCCGCGAGGAAGGACCGGUCUUCGGCCAAGGGUAUACGAGUAGCUGCGCUCCCCUGCUAGAACCUCCAAACAAGCUCUCAAGGAAUUAUGUAAAUUACUAGUGUAUCAGUCAAAAACCAUAGAAGUUGGAGUCAAGACAUGCAAC